rnacentral:rRNA from 1 species
GACAGAGGAUGCAAGCGUUAUCCGGAAUGAUUGGGCGUAAAGCGUCUGUAGGUGGCUUUUUAAGUCCGCCGUCAAAGCCCAGGGCUCAACCUUGGAAUUGCAUUUGAGACUGCAUAGCUAGGGUGCGGAAGAGGGAAGCGGAAUUUCCGGUGUAGCGGUGAAAUGCGUAGAUAUCGGAAGGAACACCAGUGGCGAAAGCGGCUUCCUGGUCCAGCACCGACGUUCAGGCACGAAAGCGUGGGGAGCAAACAGG